UUCCUUUAUUUUGACAGCAUGUGAAGUCGCUGGUUCACUGCCUCUCUUGACUCGAGCUGCGUAAUUGAACAGAAAAGUCAACCAUGAGCUACAAUGAAGGACAUUGUGUCAGGUCCAGGCGGUCCACCCUGCCUCCGUACUCCAACAGGACCCUGCACCACCCCUCUUUCCUGCCUCUGUACAUGGCUGCAGGCUUUCCACACCAUCACACGGACUUUAACAGCCAAACUGUCCCCCCCAUCAUCCCAACAGAGUUUUUCUACACUGACCCCACCAUGGUCUGUGGGAGGAGGGUCCCCAAC